rnacentral:rRNA from 1 species
AACGAACGCUGGCGGCAUGCCUAACACAUGCAAGUCGAACGAGACCUUCGGGUCUAGUGGCGCACGGGUGCGUAACGCGUGGGAAUCUGCCCUAGGGUUCGGAAUAACAGUUAGAAAUGACUGCUAAUACCGGAUGAUGACUUCGGUCCAAAGAUUUAUCGCCCAGGGAUGAGCCCGCGUAGGAUUAGCUUGUUGGUGAGGUAAAAGCUCACCAAGGCGACGAUCCUUAGCUGGUCUGAGAGGAUGAUCAGCCACACUGGACUGAGACACGGCCCAGACGCCUACGGGAGGCAGCAGUGGGGAAUAUUGGACAAUGGGCGAAAGCCUGAUCCAGCAAUGCCGCGUGAGUGAUGAAGGCCUUAGGGUUGUAAAGCUCUUUUACCCGGGAUGAUAAUGACAGUACCGGGAGAAUAAGCCCCGGCUAACUCCGUGCCAGCAGCCGCCGUAAAAC